AUCACGCCUUGUACCGCCUUGCUAAAGAAGAACGCCGGAUGAGCUUUCAGGCGUUACCAAACUUCCCCUGGCAAAUCGCACUAAUUGUCAGGAAAUAUUUUGAAUAUUUGUCUGCCAAUUUUUCAGAUAAUUGUGUUCGUAUUUUGAUCUAAAACGUCUGAAAAUUUCAAGGAAAAAUAUUUAUAAUCUUCCUCAAAAAUAAAAUUUUAUCGAAGGAAAUUUGGCAACUCUCGAAUGUUCAUACGGCGUUCUUGCUUAGCACGGCAAUGUAGGUAUCUCAUUUCAUAACUGGAUUGCAUUUUGAAAAAAGGAACCAGGAGCAUUGCAAUGUUGCUAAGAUUGUGCAACUUCACCCGUUGUGGUAUAACGAUCUAUAUGCUGAAAAAAUAUGAAAUUUACAUGGUAAUUUUUGUCCUAAAGUUGCAGUUUUUAACGAGUAAAAUAGAAACUUUUUAGAGACAAUCGGGUGGUACUUCCAAGACAAAAGGAGCUGCACAGUCUCAGCAAUAUUGUAAUGCUCCUGGUUCCUUUUUGCAAAAUGCAAUCCAACUUAAAUAUUGGCAAAAAUAAAUACAAGUAAAUUGAUGAAUGAAAAUUUUAAUAUUUCUUUGUUUGUUUGUUUGUUUGUUUACCAGGCGAGAUGUGAUCGACGCCGGAGGUUACCAGCCGUCGGACCUGCUCCGCGGAGGGAACCGCGAGAAGAACGAUCACCUGACGAUCCAAUGGCUGGCAGGUAUCAUUUCCGAGAUCCGCGGUGAGGUCACAGAGCUGGCCGCCUCCCUCAACUCGUCAGCCGAGUAUCAGAAGCGUCAGUCCCUCUCCACCGACAUCGAGAUCCUCCAGAGGGAUGUUCAGAGUCUUCGCGCCGACCUGGAAAAUCUCAAAGCUGUUCAGACCAUCAAUUCGGCCAAGCUCAGUGAGCUGGACCAGGAGGUCGAAACCGCCAAAACCCAAAGCCUCAAUGCUGCCACCGUCUGUUCAGAGCUGCAGUCCUCGGCGGAGUGGUCAAAACAUAAUGAUGGCGCGCUCAAAAUAUACAAGGUAACCAUUGCACCGCAGCUGUCAUUUCCUGUAGGCUGUCUACCCAAUGCACCUUUCUUGUCUUCCCUUCUCCCCGUCUUAUUAUUGUUUCUGUUCUCUGUAGCCCAUUUCUAACCCCUAUCAUUUCAUUGACUUACAUUUAGUCAUGUAACUUUCGUUCUAUCCUUACAUCGUCACAUUCCGGUCACAGUAUCACAGGCGACAUGCGACGUUUAAAAAGUUCCGCCGCCAUUUAAUUUUACUACAGAGAAAUUGUUCAACGAAGUAGUCCGAAAAUUUCCAUGAAUUUUCUUUGUGCUGCCGAUAAAAUUCAGUGAAAUUUUCAAAUAGAUUCAACCAUCAAUUUCUCCGUAAAAAAAUUAAAUGGUGGUAGAAAUUUUUAAACGUCGCAUGGCGCUUGCGAUACUUUGACCGGAAGGUGACGACAUGCGAUUCUCAACGAAAACAGGGGUGUUAGUCCUCAAGACAUAAGAACAUGGAAAGCGUUCUGCGAACAUUUUGACACAAAAAAUUCCCGGAAAACGGUAUAGUCAGAGUUAUCCUUAAAUGUUCUACAUACAUACUAGUGUGCGCAAAUAAUGAAGGAAGAAAAAAAGAUAGUUGCGUCUCAUUUAUAUUAAAGGAACAGAUUAAGACCGUCUAUCUGCUCAUACUAUCAAUAUGUUUCCGCUUUUUGCAACGCACGUUAACACGCUCGUCAAUAGCGACGCCUGAGUGCAACUGUUCCUGCUUAUUGGAUAUCCGUUAUGCAUAUUCGAUAGAUUGAAGGCGCUUUUACUUCCCCUAUUUGCGUUAACUCUGCCUUAGCUUUCGCUUUGAUCGGUG
rnacentral:lncRNA from 1 species